CCUAAUUCCAUGCUAAAUCGUGAAUCCGUUUUUUCCCAAUUUCGUGAACCGAUUCGUGAAUCCCUAAUCCGUGAAUCCAUUGAAGAAUCCCUAAUUCAAAAUCCCUCGUUAAAGGGUUUCUGAAUCAUCAAAGGUUUUCCAGAACUAUCGGCUUUGUGGAUGCUGGAAUCAACUUUUCUUUGCAAGUUUUCAAGAAUGCUCAUCUUACUUAGUGGAGGCAGUAAGCAGUUGUUGAAUGCAAGUUAAUUUGGAACCGAAGCACUAUAUCAUCCGGGAUUUUGCAAAGACAACUCUUUCUCAAGGUUAGUCAUCCCUAUGUUAAUUUGGAACCAGACUGAACUGUUAGUGUUUGCAAUAGUUAGUGUUUGCAUCAGUUAGUAUUUCUCAAGGUUGAGAAUUAUUUAUGAAUUGAUUUUGUGGUUAUGAGGAGGCUAUGGAAUUUCCUAAGUUCUGCUUAAUUAUUUCUUAUGGGGUCAAACUAAAAGAGCUGAAAAAGUUUGUGCUGGUUUAGAUUUGUUUUUGUGGAACCAAGGUUUCUGGUAUGUUGAUGAUAUUGAUGCAUGUUUUCAUCCUUCCUCUUAUCUUGAAUGUCCUUCAUGUGGUUCUCUUGAUGAUGUUGCCUCCGAGUAAUUUCCAGUUGUUGCAUUGUGUAUUGAUGAUGCGGCUGCUUGAGUGCUUUAUAGAUGAACUCAUAUCUGUAGUUUAGUUUCCCUUUUGUUGCUUGAUGUAUGUCCUCUAAUGCUCUAGAUUGUCCUGUUCUUGAUGAGAUAUUUGUUGUUGAGCCUUCCUUGCUUCAGGCUGAAGGUGAUGUUUUCAUUGUGCCACCUGAUUUGGCUGUUGUGCUUCUUGAAUUAUCUGCUGUGCCUGCAUUCCAUAACUGAUUUCUGAUGUGAGUUGCAGUGCCAGUAUCAGCCAUUUGUAACAAUCUGUGUGUCUGCUAUAUAUUUGUGACCUGAUUAUUAGUGCUUGUUUUCUAACUGUUGUUGAUGUGUCUUAGUUAGUGCUUUGCUUGCUUCUAGUGACUGCAAUUGAGAAGUGUUCCUUUGUUCUGUCUUGUGUUGUUGUCCUGUUGUGCAUUCCACGAAUUCGCGAUAUAGGGUUCGAAGAGGUUAGAAUGGUGAUUUAUGUUAGAACGUUCGAAGAAGCCGCAAAGUUAUGAGAGAGUGAGGUUAUAGUCAUUUUUCAAUUCUGUUUGCAGGUGAUUUGCUUGAGAAGUUUGUUGGGAAAAGUUGUUAGGUAACGGUUUAGAAUUUGUUGUGAAAUUCGGUUAGUUGAUUUUGGUCAUGAGAGAAUGAUGGUUCUGUUAGUUGGUUCCGUUAGUUGUGAAGAGUGAAGGUUCAGUUCUGUUAUAGGUUGGGAAGAGGAGUUUUGAAGUUUGUUAUUUUCGGAGCGGUUGUUGAAGAAACCUGGAAGUUAGAAGUUGGUUAGUGAGGUUCAGUUUCUAUUAACAAAGUUAGUUAUUAGUGAAAGUGGGAUGCUUUCAAAACCGUGCGUCUCAUUGACAUUCAUACGAAAAUAACAAUAAGUCAGUGUGGUUUACAAACCUGUGGAGAAACCAAUAGGAACUAACUGAAUUAAUAUUACUAAUACCAAAAUUCAAUUACAG